AUUUCUAGAGAUAGAAAGUUACUUCGGUACAUCGGUGACAGGUGGUGCAUGGUUGUCGUCAGCUCGUGUCGUGAGAUGUUGGUUAAGUCCCGCAACGAGCGCAACCCCUAUUGUUAGUUGCCAUCAUUCAGUUUGGGCACUCUAGCGAGACUGCCGGUAAUAACCGGAGGAAGUGGGAUGACGUCAAAUCAUCAUGCCCCUUAUGACCUGGGCUACACACGUGCUACAAUGGUUGGUACAACGAGUUGCGAGUCGGUGACGGCGAGCUAAUCUCUUAAAGCCAAUCUCAGUUCGGAUUGUAGGCUGCAACUCGCCUACAUGAAGUCGGAAUCGCUAGUAAUCGCGGAUCAGCACGCCGCGGUGAAUACGUUCCCGGGCCUU
rnacentral:rRNA from 1 species